rnacentral:rRNA from 1 species
AUUGAACGCUGGCGGCAGGCCUAACACAUGCAAGUCGAGCGAGCGGCGGACGGGUGAGGAAUGCCUGGGAAGUGCCCAGUCGAGGGGGAUAACAGUUGGAAACGACUGCUAAUACCGCAUACGGUUUGAAGGCUCAGGGGGGAUUAGCUAUUGGGUGAGGUAAUGGCUCACCAAGGCCACGAUCCCUAGCUGGUCUGAGAGGGUGAUCAGCCACACUGGAACUGAGACACGGUCCAGACUCUUACGGGAGGCAGCAGUGGGGAAUAUUGUGCAAUGGGCGAAACCCUGAUGCAGCCAUGCCGCGUGUGUGAAGAAGGUCUUCGGGUUGUAAAGCUCUUUCGUUGAGGAGGCGUUACUCGCAGAGUAAGCACCGGCUAACUCCGUGCCAGCCGCCGCGGUAAUAC